UACCCGCUGAACUUAAGCAUAUCAAUAAGCGGAGGAAAG
rnacentral:rRNA from 1 species